rnacentral:rRNA from 1 species
CCCCUAGAUGUUCUGGGCCGCACGCGCGCUACACUGAACAGUUCAACAAGUCUUAACCUUGGCCGAUAGGUCUGGGUAAUCUUUGAACGCUGUUCGUGAUUGGGAUAGACCUUUGCAAUUAUGGGUCUUCAACGAGGAAUUCCUAGUAAACGCAAGUCAUCAGCUUGCAUUGAUUACGUCCCUGACCUUUGUACACACCGCCCGUCGCACCUACCGAUUGAAUGGUCCGGUGAAAUCUCGGGACGGCGGCUUGGUCGCUUGCGUCCGACUGCUGAAACUUGAUUAAACCAUAUCAUUUAGAGGAAGGUGAAGUCGUANCA